rnacentral:rRNA from 1 species
GAACGCUCUCUUCGGAGAGAGUGGCGCACGGGUGAGUAACACGUGGGAACGUACCUCGAAGUACGGGAUAACUGUUGGAAACGACAGCUAAUACCGUAUACGCCCCUAGGGGGAAAGAUUUAUCGCUUCGGGAUCGGCCCGCGUCCGAUUAGCUUGUUGGUGAGGUAAAGGCUCACCAAGGCUACGAUCGGUAGCUGGUCUGAGAGGAUGAUCAGCCACACUGGGACUGAGACACGGCCCAG